rnacentral:rRNA from 1 species
ACGGGAGGCAGCAGUGAGGAAUAUUGGUCAAUGGACGGAAGUCUGAACCAGCCAAGUCGCGUGCGGGAUGAAGGCCCUACGGGUCGUAAACCGCUUUUGUACGGGGAUAAAGUCACCCACGUGUGGGUGUUUGUAGGUACCGUAAGAAUAAGGAUCGGCUAACUCCGUGCCAGCAGCCGCGGUAAUACGGAGAAUCCGAGCGUUAUCCGGAUUUAUUGGGUUUAAAGGGAGCGUAGGCGGGCCUUUAAGUCAGUGGUCAAAGCGUGUGGCUCAACCAUACCACGCCGUUGAUACUGGAGGCCUUGAGUGCACAUAAGGAUGGUGGAAUUCAUGGUGUAGCGGUGAAAUGCUUAGAUAUCAUGAAGAACUCCGAUUGCGAAGGCAGCUGUCCGGGGUGUAACUGACGCUAAUGCUCGAAAGUGCGGGUAUCAAACAGGAUUAGAUACCCUGGUA